rnacentral:rRNA from 1 species
CCCUUAGAUGUUCUGGGCUGCACGCGCGCUACACUGAUGCGAUCAACGAGUUUCUUCCUUUGUCGGUAGACAUGGGUAACCUUUUGAACUCGCAUCGUGAUGGGGAUAGAUUAUUGUAAUUAUUAAUCUUCAACGAGGAAUUCCUAGUAGGUGCAAAUCAUCAGUUUGCAUCGAUUACGUCCCUGCCCUUUGUACACACCGCCCGUCGCUGCUACCGAUUGGUUGAUCUGGUGAAUUAUUCGGACUGCCGGAUGAAGGGGUUUCCUCAUCUUCCAGCGGAAAGUCUUGUUAACCCUAUCAACUAGAGGAAGCAGAAGUCGUAACA